GUCCCUGCAGCGCAAUGGGUAGUGCUUUGGAUUUCUAAUCCAAAGGUCGUGGGUUUGAAUCCCACCUAGGAUG
rnacentral:tRNA from 1 species